rnacentral:rRNA from 1 species
AUACGUAGGUGGCAAGCGUUGUCCGGAAUUGUUGGGCGUAAAGCGCGCGCAGGUGGUUCCUUAAGUCUGAUGUGAAAGCCCCCGGCUCAACCGGGGAGGGUCAUUGGAAACUGGGGAACUUGAGUGCAGCAGAGGAUAGUGGAAUUCCAAGUGUAGCGGUGAAAUGCGUAGAGAUUUGGAGGAACACCAGUGGCGAAGGCGGCUGUCUGGUCUGUAACUGACUCUGAGGCGCGAAAGCGUGGGGAUCAAACAGAAUUAUAUACCCUGGUAGUCCACGCCGUAAACGAUGAGUGCUAAGUGUUGGGGGGUUUCCGCCCCUCAGUGCUGCAGCUAACGCAUUAAGCACUCCGCCUGGGGAGUACGGUCGCAAGACUGAAACUCAAAGGAAUUGACGGGG